rnacentral:rRNA from 1 species
CCUACGGGCGGCAGCAGUGGGGAAUAUUGGACAAUGGGCGAAAGCCUGAUCCAGCCAUGCCGCGUGUGUGAAGAAGGCCUUCGGGUUGUAAAGCACUUUCAGUGGGGAAGAAAGCCUUGGGGCUAAUACCCUCGAGGAAGGACAUCACCCACAGAAGAAGCACCGGCUAACUCCGUGCCAGCAGCCGCGGUAAUACGGAGGGUGCGAGCGUUAAUCGGAAUUACUGGGCGUAAAGCGCGCGUAGGCGGUCUGAUAAGCCGGUUGUGAAAGCCCCGGGCUCAACCUGGGAACGGCAUCCGGAACUGUCAGGCUAGAGUGCAGGAGAGGAAGGUAGAAUUCCCGGUGUAGCGGUGAAAUGCGUAGAGAUCGGGAGGAAUACCAGUGGCGAAGGCGGCCUUCUGGACUGACACUGACGCUGAGGUGCGAAAGCGUGGGUAGCAAACAGGAUUAGAUACCCUAGUAUC